rnacentral:rRNA from 1 species
GACGAACGCUGGCGGCGUGCUUAACACAUGCAAGUCGAGCGAUGAAGCACCUUCGGGUGUGGAUUAGCGGCGAACGGGUGAGGAACACGUGAGGAAUCUGCCUUCCACUCUGGGAUAACUCCGGGAAACCGGGGCUAAUACCGGAUACUUUCAACUGACGGCAUCGCCGGUUGAAGAAAGUUUUUCGGUGGAAGAUGACCUCGCGGCCGAUCAGCUUGUGGGUGAGGUAAUGGCUCACCAAGGCGACGACGGGUAGCCGGCCUGAGAGGGCGACCGGCCACACUGGGACUGAGACACGGCCCAGACUCCUACGGGAGGCAGCAGUGGGGAAUAUUGGGCAAUGGGCGCAAGCCUGAUGCAGCAACGCCGCGUGCGGGAUGACGGCCUUCGGGUUGUAAAGCUCUUUUACCAGGGAUGAUAAUGACAGUACCUGGAGAAUAAGCUCCGGCUAACUCCGUGCCAGCCGCCGCAGUAACAC